rnacentral:rRNA from 1 species
GUAUUGGGUGGAAAGUGGCGAACGGGUGAGUAACACGUUGGUGACCUGCCCUGAGGAGGGGAAUAACCGUGGGAAACCACGGCUAAUACCCCGGAUGUCUAAGCUGUUAGAGGGCUUAGACUAAAGCCCCUGCAAGGGGUGCGCCUCGGGAGGGGCCUGCGGGCUAUCAGCUUGUUGGGGGGGUAAUGGCUUACCAAGGCGAAGACGGCUAGGGGGCGUGAGAGCGCGACCCCCCACAAUGGAACUGAGACACGGUCCAUACUCCUACGGGAGGCAGCAGUGAGGAAUAUUGCGCAAUGGGGGCAACCCUGACGCAGCAACGCCGCGUGGACGAUGAAGGCCUUCGGGUUGUAAAGUCCUUUUCUGAAGGAAGAUAGUGACGGUACUUCAGGAAUAAGUCCCGGCUAACUACGUGCCAGCAGCCGCGGUAAAACGUAGGGGGCGAGCGUUAUCCGGAUUUACUGGGCGUAAAGCGCACGUAGGCGGCAUCGUAAGUUGGACGUGAAAGCUCCCGGCUCAACUGGGAGAGGUCGUUCAAAACUGUGGUGCUUGAGGUUGAUAGAGGAGAGUGGAAUUCCCGGUGUAGUGGUGGAAUGCGUAGAUAUCGGGAGGAACACCAGUGGCGAAGGCGGCUCUCUAGGUCACACCUGACGCUGAGGUGCGAAAGCGUGGGGAGCGAACGGGAUUAGAUACCCCGGUAGUCCACCGCUGUAAACGAUG